GGCCUUAUAGUCAAUAAUGAUAUUAGACUGCAAUUCUAAAGGGGUAGAUUUUCUGCUAAGGCUU
rnacentral:tRNA from 1 species